GUGCUCACUUUGGCAGCACAUAUACUAAAAUUGGAAUGAUACACAGAAGAUUAGCAUGGCCCCUGUGCAAGGAUGACAUGCAAAUUCAUGAAGCAUUCCAUAUUUUU
rnacentral:snRNA from 1 species